rnacentral:misc_RNA from 1 species
UCGUAACAAGGUCUCCGUUGGUGAACCAGCGGAGGGAUCAUUACCGAGUUUACAACUCCCAAACCCCUGUGAACAUACCAAUUGUUGCCUCGGCGGAUCAGCCCGCUCCCGGUAAAACGGGACGGCCCGCCAGAGGACCCCUAAACUCUGUUUCUAUAUGUAACUUCUGAGUAAAACCAUAAAUAAAUCAAAACUUUCAACAACGGAUCUCUUGGUUCUGGCAUCGAUGAAGAACGCAGCAAAAUGCGAUAAGUAAUGUGAAUUGCAGAAUUCAGUGAAUCAUCGAAUCUUUGAACGCACAUUGCGCCCGCCAGUAUUCUGGCGGGCAUGCCUGUUCGAGCGUCAUUUCAACCCUCAAGCCCCCGGGUUUGGUGUUGGGGAUCGGCGAGCCCUUGCGGCAAGCCGGCCCCGAAAUCUAGUGGCGGUCUCGCUGCAGCUUCCAUUGCGUAGUAGUAAAACCCUCGCAACUGGUACGCGGCGCGGCCAAGCCGUUAAACCCCCAACUUCUGAAUGUUGACCUCGGAUCAGGUAGGAAUACCCGCUGAACUUAAGCAUAUCAAUAAGCGGAGGAAAAGAAACCAACAGGGAUUGCCCUAGUAACGGCGAGUGAAGCGGCAACAGCUCAAAUUUGAAAUCUGGCUCUCGGGCCCGAGUUGUAAUUUGUAGAGGAUACUUUUGAUGCGGUGCCUUCCGAGUUC